rnacentral:rRNA from 1 species
CCCAGACUCCUACGGGAGGCAGCAGUGAGGAAUAUUGGUCAAUGGUCGGGAGACUGAACCAGCCAAGCCGCGUGAGGGAUGAAGGUACAGAGUAUCGUAAACCUCUUUUGUCAGGGAACAAAGGCGGGGACGUGUCCCCGGAUGAGUGUACCUGAAGAAAAAGCAUCGGCUAACUCCGUGCCAGCAGCCGCGGUAAUACGGAGGAUGCGAGCGUUAUCCGGAUUUAUUGGGUUUAAAGGGUGCGCAGGCGGUCUGUUAAGUCAGCGGUCAAAGCCCGGGGCUCAACCCCGGCCCACCGUUGAAACUGGCGGGCUGGAGUUGGAGAGAAGUACGCGGAAUGCGCGGUGUAGCGGUGAAAUGCAUAGAUAUCGCGCAGAACUCCGAUUGCGAAGGCAGCAUGCCGGCUCCACACUGACGCUGAGGCACGAAAGCGUGGGUAUCGAACAGGAUUAGAUACCCUAGUA